rnacentral:rRNA from 1 species
UACGAGGGGUGCAAGCGUUGCUCGGAAUUAUUGGGCGUAAAGGGUAGGUAGGUGGUCUCAUUUGUCAGGGGUGAAAGCCUUGAGCUUAACUCAAGAAGUGCCCCUGAAACGGUGAGACUAGAGUUCUGGAGAGGGUCGUGGAAUUCCCGGUGUAGCGGUGAAAUGCGUAGAGAUCGGGAGGAACACCAGAGGCGAAGGCGGCGACCUGGGCAGAUACUGACACUCAACUACGAAAGCGUGGGGAGCAAACAGG